GUAUAAAAUAUUGUAACAUAGACCUAAAAAAUCUAUAAAACAACUUUUAACAACGGAUCUCUUGGUUCUCGCAUCGAUGAAGAACGUAGCAAAGUGCGAUAACUAGUGUGAAUUGCAUAUUCAGUGAAUCAUCGAGUCUUUGAACGCAACU
rnacentral:rRNA from 1 species